UUCCCACGCCUGGAAUUGAACUCAGGCCUCUUUGGAGAGAGCCAGGUAUCCUAGCUACUAGACCACGUGGGA